CAUGGGCACUCCAGAAUCUUUUGACUCCCAGAAAGCCAUGGGGUGGGUUUUCCUUGAAGGACAGAAAGAAUAAAUUGUUAUCACUAUGUUAACCAUCCCACCUUAGAAGGGUGGGAGCUCUCCUCCCAAACCCAAAUGUGACAGCCACUCUGAGGCAGCAAGUAUUUAAAUACCCAGGGCGGACGUCAGCUCCUUUACCCUGGUGGCUCCAUUACAACAUGGCGGAGAGAGCUGCAGUAGUUAGCUACUUUUCCCCCAAUUAAGAUAAUUAAGCCAAUGUGAUGUUUUUGAAAAGACAAGAACGGAACCUUGUGUUUGUCUGCACCCGGCUCCAGGGGCAACUGAAGCGAUGCGAGUACUCAGGACCAGCCACAAGGACAGAAUCAGACACUUUCCCAACACUUUCCCGCUGUCGGAGGAGGAGCAAAGCCUGUGGCUUUCAACUUAGUCUGUCUUUAUUAUCUAGCUGCUUGGGGAAAGUCGGAGAGGUUCCCAGGGCUCUUGGCUGCUUUCAGGCCUGCAGUAGCUUAUCAGUGGAUGCUCAAAGUGAUUCAGCUACUAAUUCAUCAGGCCACAGCUACAGCUCCAAGUUCGUUCUGUAGAGUCAUUCAUUUCCUGCUAUUGCUUUCAGCCUGGGCCAACCCUCAUGUCAUAAAGAAUUUGGAGAAGUUGGAGACAUUGCUACUUUACAUGUUGUCCCCAAAUUUGGGUCUUGAGAAGAAAGACAAAAGACUGAAGAGGACUAAAGUCGAAAUGUUCCAGUGGUGGUAUCCUGAAGUGGUCCUCCAUCUGGAACCACCAGAAUUCCUGUCUGUUUGUCAUUUUUCUCUCUGACACUAUUGACCAAAAGCUAAGGAAUACUUAUACAGAUGCUCUGGGCAUUCUCACUCCUUCUCUGAGAUGUUUACCCCAUCCCUCCUAGCAGCUAUGGGGCCUCCAUAGUCGAACAUACCUGCUUUUUUGGCCUAUGCUGGCUAGUUUUUGCCUGCUUGACUCAGGCUAGAGAAACUUGAGAGAUGGAAACUUUAGCUGAGAAUAUAUUUCCAUAAGAUCAGGCUGCAGGUAAGCCUGUAGGGCAUUUUUCUUUGUGAUUGCUGUGGGAGGCCCCAGCCUACUGUGCGUGGUGCCACCCCUGGGCUGGUGAUUCUGGGUGAUUGAUAUAGGAGGGCUUCACCCAUCGUGAGUGGAGCCUGGGGUGGUUCUUAUGGAACCACUGAGCUGGUGGUCCUGGGUCCUAUAAGCAAGCAGGCUGAGCAAGCCACGUGGAGCACAUUGAAAAGCACCUCCUUUUCAUGGCCUCUGCAUCAGCUCCCGCCUCCAGGUUCCUGCCUUGCUUGAGUUCCUGUCCUGACUUCCUUCAGUGAUGGACUGUGAUGUGCAAGUGUGAGACUGAUAAAUCCUUCCUCUUCAAGUUUGGUCAUGGUAUUUCAUCACAGCAACAGGACCUCUAACUAGGACAGGCCGUAAACCUACAAGUCGAGGCUCUUGGCUCUUCUUCAUCUCUUUUCUCCUGGCAGCUUACCUGCCCUGUUUUUGUUUUUGUUUUCUUUUCAAAACUCUAAUAAAAUUGUCUUUGCGCUUCCUUCCCA